rnacentral:tRNA from 1 species
GGAGAGGUGGGUGAGUGGCUGAAACCACCGGUUUGCUAAACCGGCAUACCUCUAACAGGGUAUCGGGGGUUCGAAUCCCCCCCUCUCCG